rnacentral:rRNA from 1 species
CCCUUAGAUGUCCGGGGCUGCACGCGCGCUACACUGAAGGAAUCAGCGUGCUAAAACCAUUGUCGAAAGGCAUUGGUAAACCCAUUAAAAUCCUACGUGAUUGGGAUCGGGAAUUGCAAUUAUUUCCCUUGAACGAGGAAUUCCCAGUAAGUGUGGGUCAUAAGCUCGCGUUGAUUACGUCCCUGCCCUUUGUACACACCGCCCGUCGCUGCCCGGGACUGAGCCGUUUCGAGAAAAGCAGGGACUGCUGCUGUCGGGGCUUUCGGGCCUUGGCUUCGGUGGAAACCGCUUUAAUCGCAGUGGCUUGAACCGGGCAAAAGUCGUAACA